AGAACGAACGCUGGCGGCAUGCCUAAUACAUGCAAGUCGAACGAAGGCUUCGGCCUUAGUGGCGCACGGGUGCGUAACGCGUGGGAAUCUGCCCCUUGGUUCGGAAUAACAGUUGGAAACGACUGCUAAUACCGGAUGAUGACGAAAGUCCAAAGAUUUAUCGCCAAGGGAUGAGCCCGCGUAGGAUUAGCUAGUUGGUGAGGUAAAGGCUCACCAAGGCGACGAUCCUUAGCUGGUCUGAGAGGAUGAUCAGCCACACUGGGACUGAGACACGGCCCAGACUCCUACGGGAGCAGCAGUAGGGAAUACUGGACAAGUGGGACGAAAGCCUGAUCCAGCAAUGCCGCGUGAGUGAGUGGAAGGUCCGUUAGGGUUAGUAAACGUCCCGUUUUACCGGAGAUGAAUAAUGAACUAGUA
rnacentral:rRNA from 1 species